UCCAUUUUAAAAACUCCAGUUUGAAACCUGCAGUCUCACUAGGAACACCUAAUGGAGCCCUCCAGUAAGGCCUCAGACAUAAACAAGUCACUUCCCCUCACCCUGAUAAACAGAGUGAAACCUCUGGCAGGCUAUCCUCGCCUGAUAAGAGGGAAAGGCGAGAAGAUCAGGAUGGAGACCAACAGAACAGAUGUUUCUGACCCCAGAGUAAACUGAUGUCAUGGAGAAAUCUGGUGGUAGCUGAUAAGGAUUGAAAGGGGGGGUCAAAAGCCCCCAAAUUUAGUAUAAAUAAUAGAGCUGAUGAACCAAUUCAGCCAGCCGAAGCAAGGAUGCGCUUGAGCUGGAGAGCCUGGACUGACAUCCCAUCACUUGUCAUGGUUUCCUGAUCCUCUGUGUGAUCCUCACUGCUCUCAAACUCUACCGCCUCAUCUGGACCCUGGUGAGAGCCUCAACUUCUCCCUAUGACCCCCUCCUCAACUGGUCGUCCACUCCAUGCCAGGAAAAGCCUGCCUUGGUUCCGGACCUGGUCACUGUGGUCUGAGUGAGUGUGCAUCUGCUGGACUUAAAGCCUAAGGCUUGAGACUUUUGAACUUAGCAUGCAGAGGGAAUGUUUGUCAUUAGCCUGUCAUGAUUAAGUGUAUUUGCAGUGCUUAGAAUUAAUCUAGAAUUGUUUGCUGUGAAUUGAUUAUGUCUAUUGCAGUUCCUAGCAUUAAGGAUUGUCGUUUUCUUGAUUAAGAACCUAUAGGGUGAAAUUGUAUUGAG
rnacentral:lncRNA from 1 species